rnacentral:rRNA from 1 species
AAUGAACGCUGGCGGCAUGCCUAACACAUGCAAGUCGAACGAAGGCUUCGGCCUUAGUGGCGCACGGGUGCGUAACGCGUGGGAAUCUGCCCUCAGGUUCGGAAUAACAGCGAGAAAUUGCUGCUAAUACCGGAUGAUAUCGCGAGAUCAAAGAUUUAUCGCCUGAGGAUGAGCCAGCGUAGGAUUAGCUAGUUGGUGUGGUAAAGGCGCACCAAGGCGACGAUCCUUAGCUGGUCUGAGAGGAUGAUAAGCCACACUGGGACUGAGACACGGCCCAGACUCCUACGGGGGGCAGCAGUGGGGAAUAUUGGACAAUGGGCGAAAGCUUGAUCCAGCAAUACCGCGUGAGUGAUGAAGGCCUUAGGGUUGUAAAGCUCUUUUACCCGGGAUGAUAAUGACAGUACCGGGAGAAUAAGCUCCGGCUAACUCCUUGCCAGCCGCCGCCGUAA